UACGUAGGGGGCGAGCGUUGUUCGGAUUUACUGGGCGUAAAGGGCGCGCAGGCGGCUAUCCAAGUCAGGCGUGAAAGCCCCGGGCUUAACCUGGGAGGUGCGUCUGGGACUGGGUGGCUAGAGUUCGGGAGAGGAGAGUGGAAUUCCCAGUGUAGAGGUGAAAUUCGUAGAUAUUGGGAAGAACACCAGUGGCGAAGGCGGCUCACUGGCCCGAUACUGACGCUGAGGCACGAAAGCGUGGGGAGCAAACAGG
rnacentral:rRNA from 1 species